rnacentral:rRNA from 1 species
AACAGGCUGAUACCGCCCAAGAGUUCAUAUCGACGGCGGUGUUUGGCACCUCGAUGUCGGCUCAUCACAUCCUGGGGCUGAAGUAGGUCCCAAGGGUAUGGCUGUUCGCCAUUUAAAGUGGUACGCGAGCUGGGUUUAGAACGUCGUGAGACAGUUCGGUCCCUAUCUGCCGUGGGCGCUGGAGAAUUGAGGGGGGCUGCUCCUAGUACGAGAGGACCGGAGUGGACGCAUCACUGGUGUUCGGGUUGUCAUGCCAAUGGCACUGCCCGGUAGCUAAAUGCGGAAGAGAUAAGUGCUGAAAGCAUCUAAGCACGAAACUUGCCCCGAGAUGAGUUCUCCCUGAGACUUUAAGUCUCCUGAAGGAACGUUAAAGACGAUGACGUUGAUAGGCCGGGUGUGUAAGCGCAGCGAUGCGUUGAGCUAACCGGUACUAAUGAACCGUGAGGCUUAA